rnacentral:rRNA from 1 species
UACAGAGGGGGCAAGCGUUAUUCGGAAUUAUUGGGCGUAAAGGGCGCGUAGGCGGCUUUGCAAGUGGCGGGUGAAAUCCCUCGGCUUAACCGAGGAACUGCCUGCCAGACUGUGAGGCUUGAGACCGGGAGAGGUGAGUGGAAUUCCCAGUGUAGCGGUGAAAAUGCGUAGAUAUUGGGAGGAACACCCAGUGGCGAAGGCGGCUCACUGGACCGGAACUGACGCUGAGGCGCGGAAAAGCUAGGGGAGCAAACGGGG